rnacentral:lncRNA from 1 species
UUUUAGAGAGAGUUGUUUAGUAGUCCUCACCAUUUUUGUAAAAUAAUGUAUCAAUAAAUAUGAUGAGGAUUUAUUUGAGUAUAGAUAUUGUCUAGAAGAUAAUAUUUGUAUUCAAACUCACAGUUUUACUGUUGUAAUAAUAAAGUUGUAGUAAUUUCUGUACCAUGUAUUUGGCGACUCAGAAUGGGUUGGGUGGAAUGGACCUAUUUUGGGGGCGUCACAAAAUAUCUUGGUGAUCUGCUUUAUCCAUGCUUCCGCCUUUAGUGGUUUUGGCUUUCCAAUAAACUCCGGUGGUCCCAGCUCCUUGAACUAUUUAGCGGUGACCGUCCGAGAGUUUUCAGUAUUUCCACCUACAUUUUGGACAGGACUCGCUCUCGCCUGCUAUUGCAUGAAUUGCAUAAAGCCUCUGAACAUUCCAUCAUUCAUAAUUUGGUCAGUGUUGUUGUUUGCAUGAGGAUUAUCGCCUUCCUGAUGCACAUUAUCCUCAUUAAAAUUAUUAUCACACUAUUUCACAGAAUAGUGAGGACUACUAAUGCACCAUCUAAGACCAUCACUCUGUUCCCCGACUAGUCUCAGCUACGUUCAUAUUUCCUGAAGAGAAUAGUAAAUGAAAGGGUGAGCUCAACUAGCCUAGUAAGAAAUAUUAUGACCAAGAUAAUGCAGAAUAAUUUAUCGUUAGCAUUCAACAGUGUUAAACUAAUAAAAUACAAUAACUAUCAAGUUUAACUGCAGCGAAACAAGCAAUCCAUUAGAAGAGUUAAGUAGGGAAUAAAAUCUACUAUCUUCUAUGAUUUAAAAGUUUUUCAUCACUUUUAUCGCUAGGACUCAGCUUAAUAAAUAAUCCACAUCAUCGAAUCACCCCUGCACUGCGGCCAAUGAUAUUCUUUAGUAUCACGACCAUAAAUUACCCAUGCACUACGGGCCAAGGAUAUUCGUGUAUUCAUUAAUGGUAAUGAUCAUGCCAACAACUCUCCAUCAAUGCACUACGGGCCAAUGAGGACUUUUAUCACAUCAUUUAUAACAUUACGGUCAUGAUUACACCGAAUAAUCCCUGGUCAUAAUCAUACCAAGUCCAUCUAUGCACUACAGGCCACAGAUGACUUUCAACAAAAUAUAAACAUGAGGAUGAUGACAAUGAUAUAAGAAUUCAAUAAAGAAUGGAAUACCAAAAGAAAUCACCAUGCAUGCGAUAGACUGCACAGGCAGGUUAUUCCAACAGAAUAAUAAAGGAUGGAACCAGGUCCGGCGUAAACACAUAGAAAGGAUAUUCCGACAGAAU